UAGAGAGUAGUAUAUCGGUAGUAUGGAAAGUUUUGGGCUUUCUGGUUUGAGUUCGAGUCUUAACUUUCUAG
rnacentral:tRNA from 1 species